rnacentral:rRNA from 1 species
AGCAGCCGCGGUAAUUCCAGCUCCAAUAGCGUAUAUUAAAGUUGUUGCAGUUAAAAAGCUCGUAGUUGAAUUUCGGGGUUAGUAGGUUGGUCGUGCCACUGGUACGUACUGGUCUCACUGAUUCCUCCUUCCUGAUGAACUGUAAUGCCAUUAAUUUGGUGUUGCAGGGAAACUGGACUGUUACUUUGAAAAAACUUAGAGCGUUUAAAGCAAGCUAACGCUUGAAUACAUUAGCAUGGAAUAAUGAAAUAGGACGUUCGAUCCUAUUUUGUUGGUUUCUAGGAUUGACGUAAUGAUUAAUAGGGAUAGUUGGGGGCCAUUAGUAUUCAAUUGUCAGAGGUGAAAUUCUUGGAUUUAUUGAAGACUAACUACUGCGAAAGCAUUUGCCAAGGAUGUUUUCAUUAAUCAAGAACGAAAGUUAGGGGAUCGAAGACGAUCAGAUACCGUCGUAGUCUUAACCAUAAACUAUGCCGACUAGGGAUCGGAUGAUGUUAAUUUUUUAAUGACUCAUUCGGCGCCU